GCUGUAGCUCAGUGGUGGAGUGUCUGCUUUGCAUGCAGGAGUUUGCAGGAUCAAUCCCAGGCUUCUCCA